rnacentral:rRNA from 1 species
CUUAGUACGGCGAGUGAAGCGGUAAAAGCUCAAAUUUGAAAUCUGGUACUUUCAGUGCCCGAGUUGUAAUUUGUAGAAUUUGUCUUUGAUUAGGUCCUUGUCUAUGUUCCUUGGAACAGGACGUCAUAGAGGGUGAGAAUCCCGUUUGGCGAGGAUACCUUUUCUUUGUAAGACUUUUUCGAAGAGUCGAGUUGUUUGGGAAUGCAGCUCAAAGUGGGUGGUAAAUUCCAUCUAAAGCUAAAUAUUGGCGAGAGACCGAUAGCGAACAAGUACAGUGAUGGAAAGAUGAAAAGAACUUUGAAAAGAGAGUGAAAAAGUACGUGAAAUUGUUGAAAGGGAAGGGCAUUUGAUCAGACAUGGUGUUUUUUGCAUGCACUCGCCUCUCGUGGGCUUGGGCCUCUCAAAAAUUUCACUGGGCCAACAUCAAUUCUGGCAGCAGGAUAAAUCAUUAAGAAUGUAGCUACUUCGGUAGUGUUAUAGCUUUUUGGAAUACUGUUAGCCGGGAUUGAGGACUGCGCUUCGGCAAGGAUGUUGGCAUAAUGGUUAAAUGCCGCCCGUCUUGAACCACGGACCA